AUUGAACGCUGGCGGCAUGCUUUACACAUGCAAGUCGAACGGUAACAGGGAGCUUGCUCCGCUGACGAGUGGCGAACGGGUGAGUAAUGCGUCGGAACGUGCCGAGUAGUGGGGGAUAACGCAUCGAAAGGUGUGCUAAUACCGCAUACGUACUGAGGUAGAAAGUGGGGGAACUUCGGGCCUCACGCUAUUCGAGCGGCCGACGUCUGAUUAGCUAGUUGGUGAGGUAAAGGCUCACCAAGGCGACGAUCAGUAGCGGGUCUGAGAGGAUGAUCCGCCACACUGGGACUGAGACACGGCCCAGACUCCUACGGGAGGCAGCAGUGGGGAAGUUUGGACAAUGGGCGCAAGCCUGAUCCAGCCAUGCCGCGUGUCUGAAGAAGGCCUUCGGGUUGUAAAGGACUUUUGUCCGGGAGCAAAUGCCUGGUGUUAAUAGCACUGGGAGCUGAGAGUACCGGAAGAAUAAGCACCGGCUAACUACGUGCCAGCCGCCGCCGUAACAC
rnacentral:rRNA from 1 species